rnacentral:rRNA from 1 species
AGAGUUUGAUCCUGGCUCAGGACGAACGCUGGCGGCGUGCUUAACACAUGCAAGUCACGGGGGCUUAGUAGCAAUACUGGGUAACCGGCGAACGGGUGCGUAACACGUGAGCAAUCUGCCGAUCUCUGGGGGAUAGCCGGCCCAACGGCCGGGUAAUACCGCAUACGCUCAUUGGGGGGAGUCCCCUGAUGAGGAAACCUCCGGGGGAGAUCGAGGAGCUCGCGACCUAUCAGCUAGUUGGCGGGGUAAUGGCCCACCAAGGCUUCGACGGGUAGCUGGUCUGAGAGGACGGCCAGCCACAUUGGGACUGCGACACGGCCCAGACUCCUACGGGAGGCAGCAGUGGGGAAUAUUGCGCAAUGGACGAAAGUCUGACGCAGCGACGCCGCGUGUGGGAUGAAGCCUUUCGGGGUGUAAACCACUGUUGCCCGGGACGAAACUCCCUUUUCGAGGGGAUUGACGGUACCGGGUGAGGAAGCACCGGCUAACUCUGUGCCAGCAGCCGCGGUAAUACAGAGGGUGCGAGCGUUGUCCGGAAUCACUGGGCGUAAAGGGCGCGUAGGUGGCGGGAUAAGCGUGUGGUGAAAGCUCGGGGCUCAACUCCGAGUCUGCCAUGCGGACUGUCU